UACGUAGGGUGCGAGCGUUAAUCGGAAUUACUGGGCGUAAAGCGUGCGCAGGCGGCUUCGCAAGUCAGACGUGAAAUCCCCGGGCUUAACCUGGGAAUGGCGUUUGAAACUACGGAGCUGGAGUGUGGCAGAGGGAGGUAGAAUUCCACGUGUAGCGGUGAAAUGCGUAGAUAUGUGGAGGAACACCGGUGGCGAAGGCGCAUCCUGGACCGGCAUUGACGCUGAGGCGCGAAAGCCAGGGGAGCAAACGGG
rnacentral:rRNA from 1 species